rnacentral:piRNA from 1 species
UACAAAACUUGCAUACGCCCCGUCAUGA